AGCUUUGCGCAGUGGUGAUAUCCUAACCUAUGAGGUUUUAUCGAGGUGCGAUUAUUGCUAGGUGAAAAAUCAUGUUUCAUGUUUCAUCAUCAUGUUUUCUACAAGAAAUUUGGAACAGUAGAUUUUUGUAAGUGUAUUGAGGUA